UGAGGAAUAUUGCGCAAUGGACGAAAGUCUGACGCAGCGACGCCGCGUGAAGGAUGAAGGCCUUCGGGUUGUAAACUUCUGUUAAGUGGGAAGAAAUCCUUGUUAAUAAUACGAACAAGGGAUGACGGUACCAUUAGAGAAAGCACCGGCUAAUCUCGUGCCAGCAGCCGCGGUAAUACGAGAGGUGCAAGCGUUAUUCGGAAUUACUGGGUGUAAAGGGUGUGUAGGUGGCUUGUUAAGUCCGUUGUUGAAUCUCUCAGCCUAACUGAGAGUUUGCGAUGGAAACUGGCUUGCUUGAGGGUGGAAGAGAGAGGUGGAAUUCUCGGAGUAGCGGUAAAAUGCGUAGAUCUCGAGAGGAACACCGAUGGCGAAGGCAGCCUCUUGGUCCAUUCCUGACACUGAGACACGAAAGCGUGGGGAGCAAACA
rnacentral:rRNA from 1 species